AAACUGCCAGACUCCUUUUUUUUUUCAAAAUAAUUGUGCUACAUUUUUUUCCCACUAGUAACAUUGAGAGUUCUGUUUGCUUUAUAUCCCUGCCAACAAUCUUUUCUGAUUUUUAUCAUUUGACUAGGUACGUAACAGUAUCUCAUUGUAGUUUUAAUGACAACUGGUGAUGUUGAGUGUUUUUUUGUUUUUGUUUUGUUGUUGUUGUUGAGCGUUUUUUGAUGUGCCUGGCCAUUUGCACAUCUUUUAUGAAAUGGUUGUUCCAGUGUUUUGUUGGAGUUUUUUUGUUUUUCUUCUCUCUCUCUCUCUCUCUCUCACACUCCUCUCAAGUUUUGGUCUCUACUAUCAUAGUUAUUAAAUUGUAAAAGUGACUGACUUCAAGGAAAUCACUGAUUUUCUGUUUCCCGAUUUGUAAGUAGCACUGGGGCUACAAGAAAUACCAAACUUGACUACUGCCCAUAGUGUCUUGGACACGUAAGAGCCCGAACAUGUCCACUGUCAUCCAAAGCAUGCAAGACCCAUGCCAGGAAGGAUGUGGGCGGUCCCCAGGAGAUGGGGGAGGGGUGGCAAACACAGAUAUGAAGAGAGGCAGUGGUCAGUAGCCCCGAAAGCAGCAGCAGAUGUCGACUGUCUCCUUGGGAGGAAGGAGAAGAAAAGGGAUGGAGAGCCCUCUGGCCCUGGAGCAGGAGAAAAUGGAAAUGUAGCAGAUGUAUAAGCUAAGCUGGAAGCUCUGCACAGAACUAGUUUGGGCCUGUCUCGGCAGGGACUUCUGCUUAUGAGACAUGAGCAUCAUGAAAGAUGAGCAAGAAAGAGGAAAAAAAGAACAAGAAGAUCGAACUCGGGUCCUUGUGCUUGCGCAGCAGGCAAUGAAACCACUGAGCUAAAUCCGAAACCACUGAGCUAAGUCCCCGGCCCAUCACUUCUGUUUUUCUAUAAAUAACAUCAGAUACCAUCAUUGGUUGGGGUUCUUACAACCUGCUCUGAUCAUGAGAACUGCUGUACU
rnacentral:lncRNA from 1 species